AGGAAAACACGCCGCGUCCGCCGAGCUCGGCGGCUGCCUGUUGGUGCGCCGGCCCGCUGAACGGGCACCUUCCCUCGCCUGCGCCUUGUCCGCCACGGCCCUUGGGUUACUGCAUGCAGACGAGGGUUUUUAAGGAAAGAAAUCUCUUUCCCGUUCUUGCUAGCUGUACAACUUGCAGAAAAUCCAUUCGUACACGCAGGCUCGGGUGGGGAGUACCUGGCUGACCCAACCGCGGGUCCGGGGCUGAGCUGAGGAUCCGAAGGGCCGGGUUUCCCCGGGGCGGAUGCGGUCAGCCUGCGUGCUGGUAGAAAUCGAUCAUCCUGUUGAGGCCCACGUUACAUCUCCGUGGCAGUCACAGGAGCGAGUAGGGAUUGAAAGCAUGUUCUCAUGAGCAAGUGAGGGAGAAAUGCAGAAGAAUGCCUGUGGAGGAGGACAAUGCCCGACUCUGCCCCAUUAACUUAGAAAAAAGCGAUUUUGCUGGAGUGCGUGGAUCUAGAAGAUUUGGCCCAUUUCAUUUUGCUGCUAAAGCUACUCAAAAAGUGAACAACAUGACAGCUAUGCUCCGAUGCUGCACAGGGUUACACAAAUGUAAACUGACACAGAGAAAGGCAGCUGGUAUUUUCAAGAGUUUCUUGAAGAGAAACAAUGUGGAAUUCAGAAAACGUGUGAAGAAGAGGUCUUGAGACCUGGAAGAGCUUUACAACAGCAUCAAAUGAAAAGAUCAAGAUUAUUGAAACUGUGAGGCAAAGGUAUACUUGGUUCUUCGGAAGCAAGAAACAAAACCCAUUUCAGUGUUCAUUAGGUCAAGACUUCAGUGCUUGACGUGUUGCUUUGACAUGGGCUUGGUUAAGACUUGACAGAUGGAGGAAUCAUGAAGGUACCAUAAAGACAAGACAAAGAACUGUUGAGGAAAAUAGAGAACAAAUGAAGAAAUAUUAGCAGCUGAUUAAAAAUUUUCAGGAUGAGAGGCUAAGUGGAACAAGAAACAAUAAUGGUGUUGCAAAAGAGAAAUCAAUUACGGAGAGACAUGUGAAUUGACGGGAGAAGUUUGUCUCGUUUGUCCAGGAGAUGGUGAGGAAGCAACAUCAUCCUGGUCUGUGAGAACCUUUGUGGAGAAUUUCUUCUGUGACUGGAAGCUGAUGCUAUAGGCAAACUUGGAGAAUAAGAACUGACCAUGUGCAGACUGGUGGAUAGAAAAGAAGGCAAGUAAUCUGGACUGUGGUUGUGUCAAUAUUUGUGUCAAAAAUAUUACUGGGAUGAAGUGGACCAUUGACUGGGUUUCCCUCCUCACUGCGCCCCAGCGUGGCUUCAGUUUCUCUGUCUGCAAAAGAAAUGCAUUACUGUUUACUUCCUCCUCACAGGUAUGAUUCAUGACUCUUGCUCAGGCUAGGGUAAAUUUGGUGGUAAAAACUGCGAAUCAUUAUUAGGAGGGAGGGAUGACACAGUCUGUGUCCCAGAAAUCUUGCAAUCAAAAACUGUGGUGUGAGCGCACCAUCAUGCAAAGACAUGCUGGGAAGCCUCAAUUAUCAGCCUGCUUUCUGGGGAAUUUUACUGCCUUGUCCUCCUUCUCGAUAUGUUUCUGUGUGCUUAUUUUUGUGUUUCUCUGAACAAGUUCUGGCAAGUACCAUGAAAGCUUUUGCCCCUUGCAGUGAAAUAAUGGAAGUUUUUUCCAUUGCACUAUUUUAUGAGUGCAUAAAAUUUCAUAACACUUACGGAAGUUUGC